AUGCUCACUUCAGCAGUACAUAUACUAAAAUUGGAGCAAUACAGAGAAAAUUAGCAUGGACCGUGUGCUAGGAUGACACACAAAUUCAUGAAGCAUUCCAUGGUUUU
rnacentral:snRNA from 1 species